UGGGAACGAGAAGANACUCGUGGAGGCGUC
rnacentral:piRNA from 1 species